UACGUAGGGUGCGAGCGUUGUCCGGAAUUACUGGGCGUAAAGAGCUCGUAGGUGGUUUGUCACGUCGUCUGUGAAAUUCCGGGGCUUAACCUCGGGCGUGCAGGCGAUACGGGCAAUACUUGAGUGCUGUAGGGGAGACUGGAAUUCCUGGUGUAGCGGUGAAAUGCGCAGAUAUCAGGAGGAACACCAAUGGCGAAGGCAGGUCUCUGGGCAGUUACUGACGCUGAGGAGCGAAAGCAUGGGUAGCGAACAGGAUUA
rnacentral:rRNA from 1 species